AUCUUUUUGUAGUUCAUAAGCAUGAUGACUGGGCUUUCACGAGGCUGCACGAGAUAUGCCACCCAUAAGCCUUGUUACAACAUUUGGCACAUUACCCAUCUGAUG
rfam:Erinaceus europaeus unplaced genomic scaffold scaffold01647, whole genome shotgun sequence